rnacentral:rRNA from 1 species
GGGCCCGCACAAGCGGUGGAGCAUGUGGUUUAAUUCGAUGAUACGCGAGGAACCUUACCAGGGCUUAAAUGUAGGUUGCAUGAUCUAGAGAUAGAUCUUUCUUCGGACUACCUACAAGGUGCUGCAUGGUUGUCGUCAGCUCGUGCCGUGAGGUGUCAGGUUAAGUCCUAUAACGAGCGCAACCCCUGUCGUUAGUUACCAGCAAUUAAAGUUGGGUACUCUAGCGAGACUGCCGGUGCAAACCGUGAGGAAGGUGGGGAUGACGUCAAAUCAUCACGGCCCUUACGUCCUGGCUACACACGUGCUACAAUGGCCGGUACAGAGAGCAGCCACUACGCGAGUAGGAGCGAA